UCCCCUUUCCAGGAUGAUGAGAACAGCAGUGGGAGAUUUAUCCUUGAGGAGUGAAGGAUUCAGAGGGACCUAAAGCAGCCAUGCAGUACCUGUGAGGAGGUGUUGGAGAAGACAGCCAGACUCUGUGUGUGGUGAGAGGAAGAGAGACAACAGGUAUGAGGGAUGGAAAAGAAAACAAUGUCCAAAGGCAUCCACGACAAGGGGUGUGAAGUAAUUUUCUUCCAUGUCAUCGGGACCAUCCUUGCUGGUGGUGGAAGAUCCAACUCCUGGAAGCAGAGACUUCUGAGCAGCAGGGAGAAAACAGGCACCUGGCACCGAUGGAAAAGGGGGACCAGGUUAGAUGGAUGCAUCUCUACAACACAGCCCUUAUCUUUCAAGAGGCUUUCUUACUGUAUGGUUAAAUGGUAAAUUAAAAGCCUGAUCCAGA